GAGACAGCAGUAGCCGCGGGAAUACAGAGGGUGCGAGCGUUAAUCGGAUUUACUGGGCGUAAAGCGUGCGUAGGCGGCUUUUUAAGUCGGAUGUGAAAUCCCUGAGCUUAACUUAGGAAUUGCAUUCGAUACUGGGAAGCUAGAGUAUGGGAGAGGAUGGUAGAAUUCCAGGUGUAGCGGUGAAAUGCGUAGAGAUCUGGAGGAAUACCGAUGGCGAAGGCAGCCAUCUGGCCUAAUACUGACGCUGAGGUACGAAAGCAUGGGGAGCAAACAGGAUUAGAUACCCCGGUAGUCCCUGUCUCUUAUAC
rnacentral:rRNA from 1 species